UACAGAGGUGGCAAGCGUUGUUCGGAAUUACUGGGCGUAAAGGGCGCGUAGGCGGCUUGGUCAGUCCCGUGUGAAAUCCCUCGGCUCAACUGAGGAACUGCACGGGAAACUGCCUGGCUUGAGUUCGGGAGAGGGAAGCGGAAUUCCGGGUGUAGCGGUGAAAUGCGUAGAUAUCGGGAGGAACACCUGUGGCGAAGGCGGCCCCCUGGUUGGAUACUGACGCUGAUACGCGAAAGCGUGGGGAGCAAACAGG
rnacentral:rRNA from 1 species